UCCCCUAGUACUGCGAGUGAAGCGGGAAAAGCUCAAAUUUAAAAUCUGGUGGUCUUUUUGGCCAUCCGAGUUGUAAUUUAGAGAAGCGUCUUCCGCGCUGGACCGUGCACAAGUCUCCUGGAAUGGAGCAUCAUAGAGGGUGAGAAUCCCGUCUUUGGCACGGACGCACCAGGGCUUUUGUGAUGCGCUCUCUAAGAGUCGAGUUGUUUGGGAAUGCAGCUCACAAUGGGUGGUGAACUCCAUCUAAAGCUAAAUAUUGGCGAGAGACCGAUAGCGAACAAGUACCGUGAGGGAAAGAUGAAAAGCACUUUGGAAAGAGAGUGAAACAGUACGUGAAAUUGUUGAAAGGGAAACGCUUGAAGUCAGUCGCGUCGACCGAGACUCAGCCUUGCCUUGGCUCGGCGUAUUUCUUGGCCGACGGGUCAGCGUCAAUUUUGCUCCUUGGAUAAUGGCGAGGGGAAUGUG
rnacentral:rRNA from 1 species